rnacentral:rRNA from 1 species
GAUGAACGCUGGCGGCGUGCCUAAUACAUGCAAGUCGAGCGAAUGGAUUAAGAGCUUGCUCUUAUGAAGUUAGCGGCGGACGGGUGAGUAACACGUGGGUAACCUGCCCAUAAGACUGGGAUAACUCCGGGAAACCGGGGCUAAUACCGGAUAACAUUUUGAACCGCAUGGUUCGAAAUUGAAAGGCGGCUUCGGCUGUCACUUAUGGAUGGACCCGGGUCGCAUUAGCUAGUUGGUGAGGUAACGGCUCACCAAGGCAACGAUGCGUAGCCGACCUGAGAGGGUGAUCGGCCAAACUGGGACUGAGACACGGCCCAGACUCCUACGGGAGGCAGCAGUAGGGAAUCUUCCGCAAUGGACGAAAGUCUGGCGGAGCAACGCUGCGUGAGUGAUGAAGGCUUUCGGGUCGUAAAACUCUGUUGUUAGGGAAGAACAAGUGCUAGUUGAAUAAGCUGGCACCUUGACGGUACCUAACCAGAAAGCCACGGCUAACUACGUGCCAGCAGCCGCCGUAA